rnacentral:rRNA from 1 species
GACAAACACAUAGGGUCAAAAGGAGAUUGAUUUUCGAGUGCAAAGAUAGAAGGGUGCUUAAAGGCAAGAGUCACCAAUUGAGUAGGGACAACAAUCAGUCUUAGU